rnacentral:rRNA from 1 species
UGACCUAAACCCUCACCAGAGUAACAAUUGGAGGGCAAGUCUGGUGCCAGCAGCCGCGGUAAUUCCAGCUCCAAUAGCGUAUAUUAAACUUGUUGCAGUUAAAAAGCUCGUAGUUGAAUUUUUGCGUGGUGUUAAUAUUGACUAAUGUCGAGAUUGCACUUCGCUUUUGGGAUUUAUCCCUUUUUACUUUGAGAAAAUUAGAGUGUUUCAAGCAGACUUUUGUCUUGAAUACUUCAGCAUGGAAUAAUAGAGUAGGACUUUGGUUCUAUUUUGUUG